AAUUAAUUAAUCUGUAUUUACUAAAUGAACAGAACUGUCAGAUAUUACAUAAAAUGAUCUAAUCAGAAAUAUUGAGGAUCAUAUUUGUGAUUAAACCAUUAUUUCUGAUUAAAUCAAUAUUUCUAUUUUAUCAUAUUGCAUAUGAUAAGAUAAAAUAACUAGUAAAUAACUAAAAUAACUAAUAAAUAAAUAACUAACUAAAUAAUGAAUUGAACUAUAUAAUCAGAAUAGGGGAACAACAUGGAUAUGAUAGAUCUUUUUUGAUGAGCAUAUGGAACCAACUGAGAAAGGAUAGGAGAGAUGAGAGGGGAGAGAAAGAGUUUAUGUCGAUUCCAUAUCACCUAAAAAACUUUAAUAUGGUAAAGAAAAUAGUUAGAAGAGAUAGGAAAAGGGCAGCACCACAAAGAAACCUGACCUUGUUUAAUGUUCUCAGAAAUGAGAAGGACAAACUUGAGCAAAGGGAAAGAAGAGGAGUUUAUAGAAUACCUAUGACAG
rnacentral:lncRNA from 1 species